ACGGGAGGCAGCAGUGGGGAAUAUUGCACAAUGGGGGAAACCCUGAUGCAGCGACGCCGCGUGAAGGAAGAAGUAUCUCGGUAUGUAAACUUCUAUCAGCAGGGAAGAUAAUGACGGUACCUGACUAAGAAGCUCCGGCUAAAUACGUGCCAGCAGCCGCGGUAAUACGUAUGGAGCAAGCGUUAUCCGGAUUUACUGGGUGUAAAGGGAGCGUAGACGGUUUGCCAAGUCUGAUGUGAAAGGUGGGGGCUCAACCCCCAAACUGCAUUGGAAACUGGUAGACUAGAGUGUCGGAGAGGUAAGUGGAAUUCCUAGUGUAGCGGUGAAAUGCGUAGAUAUUAGGAGGAACACCAGUGGCGAAGGCGGCUUACUGGACGAUAACUGACGUUGAGGCUCGAAAGCGUGGGGAGCAAACAGGAUUAGAUACCCUGGUA
rnacentral:rRNA from 1 species